UACGUAGGGGGCGAGCGUUGUCCGGAUUUAUUGGGCGUAAAGAGCUCGUAGGCGGUUCGAUAAGUCGGACGUGAAAUCUCCACGCUCAACGUGGAGGGGCCGUUCGAUACUGUCGUGACUCGAGUCCGGUAGGGGAGUGUGGAAUUCCCGGUGUAGCGGUGAAAUGCGCAGAGAUCGGGAGGAAUACCGAUGGCGAAGGCAGGUCUCUGGGCUGACACUGACGCUCAUGCACGAAAAGCGUGGGGGAGC
rnacentral:rRNA from 1 species